rnacentral:lncRNA from 1 species
AAAGAGUAUGCAGGUGAUGCUGCAGAGAAGUCCAAAGAUACAGCAUAUAAGACCAAAGACUAUGCUGGUGAUGCAGCAUAUAAGACCAAAGACUAUGCUGGUGAUGCAGCAUAUAAGGCCAAAGACUAUGCUGGUGAUGCUGCAUACAAGGCCAAAGACUAUGCUGGUGAUGCUGCAGAGAAGACCAAAGAUGCAGCAUAUAAGACCAAAGACUAUGCAGGUGAUGCUGCAGAGAAGAGCAAAGAGUAUGCAACUGAUGCUGCAUACAAGUCUAAAGACUAUGCUGGUGAUGCUGCUCAGAAAACCAAAGAGGCUUCUGAUUAUGCCAGUGAUACCACUAAGAAGACCACAAAUU